GUCGAACGAUGAUGCCAGCUUGCUGGUGGAUUAGUGGCGAACGGGUGAGUAACACGUGAGUAACCUGCCCUUGACUCUGGGAUAAGCCUGGGAAACUGGGUCUAAUACCGGAUAUGACCUUCCAUCGCAUGGUGGUUGGUGGAAAGCUUUUGUGGUUUUGGAUGGACUCGCGGCCUAUCAGCUUGUUGGUGGGGUAAUGGCCUACCAAGGCGACGACGGGUAGCCGGCCUGAGAGGGUGACCGGCCACACUGGGACUGAGACACGGCCCAGACUCCUACGGGAGGCAGCAGUGGGGAAUAUUGCACAAUGGGCGAAAGCCUGAUGCAGCGACGCCGCGUGAGGGAUGACGGCCUUCGGGUUGUAAACCUCUUUCAGUAGGGAAGAAGCGUAAGUGACGGUACCUGCAGAAGAAGCGCCGGCUAACUACGUGCCAGCAGCCGCGGUAAUACGUAGGGCGCAAGCGUUAUCCGGAAUUAUUGGGCGUAAAGAGCUCGUAGGCGGUUUGUCGCGUCUGCCGUGAAAGUCCGGGGCUCAACUCCGGAUCUGCGGUGGGUACGGGCAGACUAGAGUGAUGUAGGGGAGACUGGAAUUCCUGGUGUAGCGGUGAAAUGCGCAGAUAUCAGGAGGAACACCGAUGGCGAAGGCAGGUCUCUGGGCAUUAACUGACGCUGAGGAGCGAAAGCAUGGGGAGCGAACAGGAUUAGAUACCCUGGUAGUCCAUGCCGUAAACGUUGGGCACUAGGUGUGGGGGACAUUCCACGUUUUCCGCGCCGUAGCUAACGCAUUAAGUGCCCCGCCUGGGGAGUACGGCCGCAAGGCUAAAACUCAAAGGAAUUGACGGGGGCCCGCACAAGCGGCGGAGCAUGCGGAUUAAUUCGAUGCAACGCGAAGAACCUUACCAAGGCUUGACAUGAACCGGACCGCUGCAGAAAUGUGGUUUCCCCUUUGGGGCUGGUUUACAGGUGGUGCAUGGUUGUCGUCAGCUCGUGUCGUGAGAUGUUGGGUUAAGUCCCGCAACGAGCGCAACCCUCGUUCUAUGUUGCCAGCACGUGAUGGUGGGGACUCAUAGGAGACUGCCGGGGUCAACUCGGAGGAAGGUGGGGACGACGUCAAAUCAUCAUGCCCCUUAUGUCUUGGGCUUCACGCAUGCUACAAUGGCCGGUACAAAGGGUUGCGAUACUGUGAGGUGGAGCUAAUCCCAAAAAGCCGGUCUCAGUUCGGAUUGGGGUCUGCAACUCGACCCCAUGAAGUCGGAGUCGCUAGUAAUCGCAGAUCAGCAACGCUGCGGUGAAUACGUUCCCGGGCCUUGUACACACCGCCCGUCAAGUCACGAAAGUUGGUAACACCCGAAGCCGG
rnacentral:rRNA from 1 species